UAUUCUUCUUAUAUGAGUGAAAUAUAUUAAGGUUUCUUGAAUAUUUAUAAAACGCAACUUCACCUUCUAUAAUCAAGUGCCCAAUGCAUUCCCAAACAAGACAAUACAUAUUACGACACCAUUGAGAGAAACUAAGACAAUGUUAUAACUUCUUUCAGAUUAAUAUUUGAUCAAUAAUUAGGACCUAGAUUUUUAAUUAUGUAUAUCAAUUAACUCAAAUAAGGUUAAGAUGGUAAGGCAUCAAUGCUUUGUAUGAUUGGAGGGAUAUAUUAGAUAGGUUGUUUUCUAAUAGAAUUAGAGUCGUUUGUAUCAAGAUGGGAUUUUUGUAAGUUAAAUGUACUACCAUUCGAUUCUUAUUUUUCA
rnacentral:lncRNA from 1 species